GUACACAAAAAUGCACAUGCUGUGAGCUCGAUGAGUAGGGCGGGACACGUGGUAUCCUGUCUGAAUAUGGGGGGACCAUCCUCCAAGGCUAAAUACUCCUGACUGACCGAUAGUGAACCAGUACCGUGAGGGAAAGGCGAAAAGAACCCCGGCGAGGGGAGUGAAAAAGAACCUGAAACCGUGUACGUACAAGCAGUGGGAGCACGCUUAGGCGUGUGACUGCGUACCUUUUGUAUAAUGGGUCAGCGACUUAUAUUCUGUAGCAAGGUUAACCGAAUAGGGGAGCCGAAGGGAAACCGAGUCUUAACUGGGCGUUAAGUUGCAGGGUAUAGACCCGAAACCCGGUGAUCUAGCCAUGGGCAGGUUGAAGGUUGGGUAACACUAACUGGAGGACCGAACCGACUAAUGUUGAAAAAUUAGCGGAUGACUUGUGGCUGGGGGUGAAAGGCCAAUCAAACCGGGAGAUAGCUGGUUCUCCCCGAAAGCUAUUUAGGUAGCGCCUCGUGAAUUCAUCUCCGGGGGUAGAGCACUGUUUCGGCAAGGGGGUCAUCCCGACUUACCAACCCGAUGCAAACUGCGAAUACCGGAGAAUGUUAUCACGGGAGACACACGGCGGGUGCUAACGUCCGUCGUGAAGAGGGAAACAACCCAGACCGCCAGCUAAGGUCCCAAAGUCAUGGUUAAGUGGGAAACGAUGUGGGAAGGCCCAGACAGCCAGGAUGUUGGCUUAGAAGCAGCCAUCAUUUAAAGAAAGCGUAAUAGCUCACUGGUCGAGUCGGCCUGCGCGGAAGAUGUAACGGGGCUAAACCAUGCACCGAAGCUGCGGCAGCGACGCUUAUGCGUUGUUGGGUAGGGGAGCGUUCUGUAAGCCUGCGAAGGUGUGCUGUGAGG
rnacentral:rRNA from 1 species